rnacentral:rRNA from 1 species
UACGUAGGGUGCGAGCGUUUGUCCGGAAUUAUUGGGCGUAAAGGGCUCGUAGGCGGUUUGUCGCGUCGGGAGUGAAAACACCGGGCUUAACUCGGUGCUUGCUUUCGAUACGGGCAGACUAGAGGUAUGCAGGGGGAGAACGGAAUUCCUGGUGUAGCGGUGAAGUGCGCAGAUAUCAGGAGGAACACCGGUGGCGAAGGCGGUUCUCUGGGCAUUACCUGACGCUGAGGAGCGAAAGUGUGGGGAGCGAACAGG